UGGGGUGUGGCUUUGUGGUGGAGCACUUGCCUGGCAUGCAUGAGACCUUGGGUUCCAUCCCCAGCACCACAA
rnacentral:tRNA from 2 species